CACCGCCUGGGGAGUACGACCGCAAGGUUAAAACUCAAAUGAAUUGACGGGGACCCGCACAAGUAGUGGAGCAUGUGGUUUAAUUCGAAGAUACGCGCAGAACCUUACCAACACUUGACAUGUUCGUCGCGACUUUAAGAGAUUAAAGUUUUCGGUUCGGCCGGACGAAACACAGGUGCUGCAUGGCUGUCGUCAGCUCGUGUCGUGAGAUGUUGGGUUAAGUCCCGCAACGAGCGCAACCCUCACUUUUAGUUGCCAUCAUUAAGUUGGGCACUCUGAAAGAACUGCCAGUGAUAAGCUGGAGGAAGGUGGGGAUGACGUCAAGUCCUCAUGGCCCUUACGUGUUGGGCUACACACGUGCUACAAUGGUAUCCACAACAGGAAGCAAAACCGCGAGGUUAAGCAAAUCCUAAAAAGAUACCUCAGUUCGGAUUGCACUCUGCAACUCGAGUGCAUGAAGCUGGAAUUACUAGUAAUCGUGGAUCAGCGUGCCACGGUGAAUGCGUUCCCGGGUCUUGUACACACCGCCCGUCACACCAUGGGAGUUGGUUCUACCUUAAGGCAAGGUUUCAAACCCUUGACCACGGUAUAGUCAGCGACUGGGGUGAAGUCGUAACAAGGUAGCCGUAGGGGAACCUGCGGCUGGAUUACCUCCUUUCUAAGGAUGAGUGAAAGUAAAAUUUCAUUCUAAAUAAUAUACAGGCUAAUGUUGACCGUCCUCAUUUCUCUUCUUGAAUUAGUGUUUCUCUUGCAUGGGGGCCGGUAGCUCAGUUGGUUAGAGCACACCCUUGAUAAGGGUGGGGUCGAAAGUUCGAGUCUUUCUCGGCCAAAACAAAAUAAGAUCAUGGGGGAUUAGCUCAGCUGGGAGAGCGCCUGAUUUGCAUUCAGGAGGUCAGCGGUUCGAUCCCGCUAUCCUCCACCAAACACUUAGUUAUAAAAAAUUGUGAAUAAAUAAUAAUUAAUAUCAAUAUCUAUAUCCGAACAUUAGAAAUGUUAUUAGCUAAUGUUCAAAAUAAAAAUUUGAUUCAACACAGAAUUUUUUUCUG
rnacentral:sRNA from 1 species